UGGGGAAUAUUGCACAAUGGGCGCAAGCCUGAUGCAGCCAUGCCGCGUGUAUGAAGAAGGCCUUCGGGUUGUAAAGUACUUUCAGCGGGGAGGAAGGCGAUGCGGUUAAUAACCGCGUCGAUUGACGUUACCCGCAGAAGAAGCACCGGCUAACUCCGUGCCAGCAGCCGCGGUAAUACGGAGGGUGCAAGCGGUAAUCGGAAUUACUGGGCGUAAAGCGCACGCAGGCGGUCUGUCAAGUCGGAUGUGAAAUCCCCGGGCUCAACCUGGGAACUGCAUCCGAAACUGGCAGGCUUGAGUCUCGUAGAGGGGGGUAGAAUUCCAGGUGUAGCGGUGAAAUGCGUAGAGAUCUGGAGGAAUACCGGUGGCGAAGGCGGCCCCCUGGACGAAGACUGACGCUCAGGUGCGAAAGCGUGGGGAGCAAACA
rnacentral:rRNA from 1 species